AUGGACAAGAUGCCAGGACCUGUAUGUUUUACAAUGAAGUUCUUGUCAUCAAAUUUCUCCCUGCAGAUGGACUUGCCACCGUGCCAUUACGUGCACAGAGCACAAAAGUUUUCUGCUGUCUUUGGAAACUUGUCUCCAAAUAGCUUGGAGGAGAUACAGCCCAAGGGCUCGCUGUUGACGGUGAUAUUGAAGAACACGCCAACCAGAACAACGUUCUAUGCACAUUUUGUCCUCAGUAAGAGGGCCUCUGGCCAAAAUUUGGCUAGUGGCCCAUUGGGAUAAGAAGCUAACCAAAGCUCAUGUGUUUCAGUGUAAUUUAGAGAGCAGUGUGGAGAAUAUCAUCUCACCAAAGGUGAAGAUGGCAUUACAGACAUGAGGAUAUCUUUUUCUGGGACUAGUUUGAACAGGAAAACCAAAUACCUUCUUUCAGACUGUAAUGAAGCAUUCAUUAAGAUAAAGAUGGCUUUCUGGACAGGUGUUGUUGACCUGAGAAAAAUUGGGGAGGAGCUUAUAACGCUAUUACUUUACUUGAAGAAUUUCAUGACUUUGAACAACCGUUGCCUGACUUAGAUAACAUUGAUGAGGCCCAGGAGUUCAGCUUGGAUCAGAGUAGAGUGGAAGAGAUAAACAUGAGAGAAGAAGUUGGGAAUAUCAGUAUGUUACAAGAAAAUUAUUUUGGUGAUUUUUGGAAUGGAUGAUCGUGAGAUAAUGAAAGAAGGCAGUGCUUUUGUGGAUGAUGACAUGUUAGUAAGCCCUACUGCUUCUAACCUCAUAUUAGCAUCUGAACAGAGCAUCAGCAAUCUGAAUGAGAAAAUUAACCAUUUAGAAUAUGAAGACCAAUAUAAAGACAACAAUUUUGGAGAAGGAAAUGAUGGUGGAAUAUUAGACGACAAACUUAUUAGUAAUAAUGAUGGUGGUAUCUUUGAUGAUCCCCUGCCCUUUCUGAGGCAGGGGUGAUGUUGCCAGAGCAGCCUGCACAUGAUGAUAUGGAUGAGGAUGAUAAUGUAUCAAUGGGUGGGCCUGAUGGUCCUGAUUCAGGAUCCUGUUGAACCAGCCAACUAUGAUCAAACAACACCUGUUACAAAUGAGGAAGAAGCAUUUGCAUUGGAACCUAUUGCUGUAACUGUUAAAGAAACAAAAGCCAAGAGGAAGAGGAAGCUAAUUGUUGACAGUAUCAAAGACUUGGAUAGCAAGAUAAUCAGAGCCCAACUUAGUGAUUAUUCUGAUAUUGUUACUACUUUGGGUCUGGCACCACCUACCAAGAAAUAGGUGAUGUGGAAAGAGACAGGAGGAGUAAAAAAAACUGUUUUCUUUACCUGCUCAGCCUUUGCGGAAUAACAUACUACUGAAGUUCUUUACAUGCUGUCUUACACCACUUGUACCAGAAGACCUUAGAAAAAGGAGGAAAGAAGAGACAGAUAAUUUGGAGGAGUUCCUCAAAGAACUUGAAAAUCCAGAGGUUCCUAGAGAGGACCAGCAACAGUUACACCAGCAGCAUGAUGUUAUCGAUGACCCUAUUUUGGAAGAGCCAAGCCGCCUCCAGGAGUCAGUAAUGGAAGCCAGCAGAACAAACCUGGACGUGUCAACUAUGCCUCCAUCACCACCUCAGGGAGUUAAGCAAAAAGCUGGACAAACUGACCCAGAGCCUGUGAUGCCUCCUCAGCAGGUAGAGAAGAGGAAAUACUGCCUGUAGAACUUCCCCUAGAAGAACCUCCAAAUAUCUGUCAGCUAAUACCAGAUAUCUGUCAGCUAAUAUACCAGAGUUAGAACUUCUGCCAGAAAAAGAGAAGGAGAAAGAAAAGGAAAAAAAAAAAAAAAAAGAUGAUGAUGAAGAGGAAAAGGAUGAAGAUACUCCAGGGGGUAAUCAAGAUCAGGAAGAAAGAAGAUGGAAGAAAAGGACUCAGCAGAUGCUUCAUGGUCUUCAGUGAGCUCUUGCUAAAACGGGAGCUGAAUCUAUCAGUUUGCUUGAGUUAUGUCAAAACACAAACAGAAAACAAGCUGCCACAAAGUUCGACAGCUUCUUAGUUCUUAGAAAGCAGCAAGCUAUUGAGCUGACGCAUGAAGAACCAUACAGUGACAUCAUCCCAACACCUGGACCAAAGUUCCAUAUUUUAUGA